rnacentral:rRNA from 1 species
GACGAACGCUGGCGGCGUGCUUAACACAUGCAAGUCGAACGGAAAGGCCCUGCUUUUGUUGUUUGCUCGAGUGGCGAACGGGUGAGUAACACGUGAGUAACCUGCCCUUGACUUUGGGAUAACUUCAGGAAACUGGGGCUAAUACCGGAUAUGAGCUCCUGCUGCAUGGUGGGGGUUGGAAAGUUUCGGCGGUUGGGGAUGUACUCGCGGCUUAUCAGCUUGUUUGUGGGGUAGUGGCUUACCAAGGCUUUGACGGGUAGCCGGCCUGAGAGGGUGACCGGGCACAUGGGGACUGAGAGACGGCCCAGACUCCUACGGGAGGCAGCAGGGGGGAAUAUUGCACAAUGGGGGGAAGCCUGAUGCAGCAACGCCGCGUGCGGGAUGACGGCCUUCGGGUUGUAAACAGAUUUCGACUGUGACGAAGAGUGAGUGACGGUAAUGGGUAAAGAAGCACCGGCUAACUACGUG